UUUCAGUAUAUUUUUAUUUUUUCUUUUCUGUGGUUUUUGUAUUAGUUAUUUUUCUAUAUAUUUUGUUUCUUAAUUUGGUAAUAAUUCGGAGUUGUGAUCUAUCCUUAGGGCUUUUUAUAUGAGUUGAUAGGGUUAGAAAGGUGUGGAUCCAUCAAAGAAACAUCAAAUCUCAAAAUUAGGGUUUCCCACCUUUUACAGUCGCGCCAGUUCCCCAUCUAUCUAUACAUACAUACAUAUCUGAUUGUGAUUUUGUAGAUCUUUUCAAAUUUAUGUUUUAAUUCUAUGUUUCUUUGAUCUCACAACUUGGCAAAAGCAAUUCUGCUUAAUUUUUUUGUUCAUCGGUCAAUUGUCUGUUUUCUUUCAUUUGGGGACUUUUUUUUUUUGAUCAAUUUCGAUUCUUAUCAUAUCGGCGCUGGGUUGGGUUUCUCGUAGAUAUCAUAAUCUUUGUGGUUUGAUUUGAUUUAAUUAGAAUUGGCAGUAAUGGAUAAGAAGAAAGUUGUGGCACCGCUUGUUUGCCAUGGGCAUUCUCGUCCUGUUGUUGAUCUGUCCUACAGUCCAAUCACUCCUGAUGGAUUCUUCCUCAUCAGUGCCAGCAAGGAUUCUACGCCAAUGCUGAGAAAUGGAGAAACUGGAGAUUGGAUUGGAACAUUUGAAGGGCAUAAAGGAGCCGUGUGGAGUUGUUGUCUGGAUAAACAUGCUCUUCGUGCUGCAUCUGCAUCUGCCGAUUUCAGCGCGAAAUUGUGGGAUGCAUUGACUGGGGAUGUAUUACACUCAUUUGACCACAAGCACAUAGUUCGAGCAUGUGCCUUUUCAGAGGAUACAAAUCUGCUACUCACUGGUGGUUUUGAAAAAAUUCUUCGAAUAUUUGAUUUAAACCGACCUGAUGCACCUCCAAGGGAAAUUGACAGCUCUCCUGGUUCAGUACGGACAGUUGCUUGGCUGCACAGCGAUCAAACUAUCUUGAGUUCCUCUGGAGAUGCUGGUGGAUUGAGGUUAUGGGACGUGAGGACCGGCAAAGUUGUUCAAAUCCUUGAAACUAAGUUUCCUGUAACCAGUGCUGAAGUAAGUCAGGAUGGUCGUUACAUAACAACUGCUGAUGGUUCCUCUGUCAAGUUUUGGGAUGCUAACCACUUUGGAUUGGUGAAGAGUCACGAAUUGCCUUGCAAAGUUGAAUCUGCUUCCCUGGAACCAAAGUUCGGUAAUAGGUUCAUUGCUGGAGGAGAAGAUAUGUGGGUUCAUGUCUUUGAUUUUCACACUGGAGAGGAAAUUGGAUGCAACAAGGGACACCACGGACCUGUGCACUGUUUGCGGUUCUCUCCUGGAGGUGAAUCCUAUGCCUCAGGAUCUGAAGAUGGGACUAUUAGAAUAUGGCAGCUGGGUCCUCUUGGUCAGAUUGAGGACAACUCCACAGCAAACGGGUCUACUACUGCAAAUGCCAAUGAUGGUAUGGGUGAGGUGACCCAAAAGAUUGACGAGUUGGCUGUUUCAGAAACAAAGAAGAAGGAAGAGACACAGGUCGAUGGUGUGGAGCAGAAGGUAGUUGAUGCCUGAUUAGGAGUUUAAGGGUUCUGUAUGGUUUCUCCUUUUGGAAAGCUGUAACUGGCUUGACUUUCGGAGGUUUUUGCUUAUGAAAUAAGACUUAAGCUUUUGAGAGUGUUGGAUAUUCUUUUCUGGCCCGUGAUCGUAAUCAUCAGUUAUAUAGUCUUUGGAGUAGUUUUUUCUGUAGAACUGAGAGAAGUACCUUACUCUCUUGUCAGGUUCAUAUUGUCCUUGGAUUUGCAAUUGCUUUUACAAACCAGUAGGAUGUCCAAACCUAGAGAUAUAAUAGUAUGAAAAAAGUGAACUCUGUAACAAGGCUUAAUAUAAUGAAAUAGUACUGAG
rnacentral:misc_RNA from 1 species